rnacentral:rRNA from 1 species
GAGUUUGAUCCUGGCUCAGGAUGAACGCUGGCGGCGUGCCUAACACAUGCAAGUCGAGCGAAGCGCUAUACUUGAAUUCUUCGGAAGGAAAGUAUUGUGACUGAGCGGCGGACGGGUGAGUAACGCGUGGGUAACCUGCCUCAUACAGGGGGAUAACAGUUAGAAAUGACUGCUAAUACCGCAUAAGACCACAGCACCGCAUGGUGCGGGGGUAAAAACUCCGGUGGUAUGAGAUGGACCCGCGUCUGAUUAGCUAGUUGGUAAGGUAAGGGCUUACCAAGGCGACGAUCAGUAGCCGACCUGAGAGAGUGACCGGCCACAUUGGGACUGAGACACGGCCCAAACUCCUACGGGAGGCAGCAGUGGGGAAUAUUGCACAAUGGGGGAAACCCUGAUGCAGCGACGCCGCGUGAGUGAUGAAGUAUUUCGGUAUGUAAAGCUCUAUCAGCAGGGAAGAAAAUGACGGUACCUGACUAAGAAGCACCGGCUAAAUACGUG